CCUACGGGAGGCAGCAGUGAGGAAUAUUGGUCAAUGGCCGUAAGGCUGAACCAGCCAAGUCGCGUGAAGGAAGAAGGCUCUAUGGUUUGUAGACUUCUUUUAUCGGGGAAUAAAGGUAUCCACGUGUGGCUAUUUGCAUGUACCCUAUGAAUAAGCAUCGGCUAACUCCGUGCCAGCAGCCGCGGUAAUACGGAGGAUGCGAGCGUAUCCGGGUUUAUUGGGUUUAACGGGUGCGUAGGUUGUUCUUUAAGUCCGCGGUGAAAGUUUGUGGGUCAACCAUAAAAUUGCCGGUGAAACUGGAAGCCUUGAGUGUGUUUGAGGUAGGCGGAAUGCGUGGUGUAGCGGUGAAAUGCAUAGAUAUCACGCAGAACUCCGAUUGCGAAGGCAGCUUACUAAGCCAUAACUGACACUGAAGCACGAAAGCGUGGGGAUCAAACAGGAUUAGAUACCCCAGUAGUC
rnacentral:rRNA from 1 species